rnacentral:rRNA from 1 species
AGAGUUUGAUCAUGGCUCAGAUUGAACGCUGGCGGCAGGCCUAACACAUGCAAGUCGAACGGUAACAGGAUUAGCUUGCUAAUCGCUGACGAGUGGCGGACGGGUGAGUAAUGCUUGGGAACUUGCCUUUGCGAGGGGGAUAACAGUUGGAAACGACUGCUUAUACCGCAUAACGUCUACGGACCAAACGGGGCUUAGGCUCCGGCGCAAAGAGAGGCCCAAGUGAGAUUAGCUAGUUGGUAAGGUAAAGGCUUACCAAGGCAACGAUCUCUAGCUGUUCUGAGAGGAAGAUCAGCCACACUGGAACUGAGACACGGUCCAGACUCCUACGGGAGGCAGCAGUGGGGAAU